rnacentral:RNase_MRP_RNA from 13 species
UUCGCAGCGCACAUGCAGGGAGCCCGCUCCCAUGAUGCUGUGUGGAAAGUCCCCGUGCCCAAGGGCAGAGAGUGCCAGCGAGAGGCCGCUUGGCUCCGGUCACGACAUGCGCGGUGAGACCAUUGGUGGAGCUGCCGUGCCGUACUGGGGCCAUUCGCAUCAGCACAGCUAUGUCGCGAGUGCCCAGUCCAGGGCGCCAACUGAACGGGGCUCACUCUCUU